UACGGGGGGGGCAAGCGUUGUUCGGAAUUACUGGGCGUAAAGGGCUCGUAGGCGGCCAACUAAGUCGGACGUGAAAUCCCUCGGCUUAACCGGGGAACUGCGUCCGAUACUGGAUGGCUUGAGUUCGGGAGUGGGAUGCGGAAUUCCAGGUGUAGCGGUGAAAUGCGUAGAUAUCUGGAGGAACACCGGUGGCGAAGGCGGCAUCCUGGACCGACACUGACGCUGAGGAGCGAAAGCCAGGGGAGCAAACGUG
rnacentral:rRNA from 1 species